CUGCAUAUACCGCUUACAAAUAACGUUCCCUUAUUUCAAAGUUUGAAUCUUUCUCUCAUUUGUUCCGUUAGUUCAUUGAAAAAAGCUCUAGACUUUAAUUAAGACAAGAUAGGAUUUUGAUUAUUCAAACAUAACCAACAGAGACGGAAAGAAAUCUGAAGCUCUUCUUUAAAUUUUGGUUUAGACUUUUAGAACAUUUGGAGGUGAUAUUACGACAAGUCUAUGUCAAAGUAGUUCCUAUGUUAAAGACAAUGAGUUAAUUUCUGUCGGGGGUGUUUUGCUGUCUCUCCUACCACCACCUCGUUCACCUUUAAUGAUGGACUAACUAAUAGUAGUUCGGUGCAACGUGACAAGAGGAGAAAAAAAAAGAGAGUCGAUCUUGGAAUUUUACUCUCUUAUUCUUCUUCUAGGAAACUCUGUUCAGAGGAAGAACAAUGGGGAUCGUCUCGGAACAAGCCGUUGAUGAAUUCCAGGAGCUCAUAGAUAAAGUUGAGGAGCCAUUGAAGACAACAUUUAAGAAUGUCCAUCAGGGAUACCUGAGGGAGACUUUGAUUCGUUUUCUAAAAGCACGAGAUUGGAACGUAAUUAAAGCUCAUACAAUGCUGGUUGAGUGUUUGCGUUGGAGGGUGGAUAAUCAAAUUGACAGUAUCUUAUCCAAACCUAUUGUUCCUAGUGAGCUGUACAGGGACGUACGUGAUUCUCAGCUCAUAGGAAUGUCAGGUUACACCAGAGAGGGCUUGCCUGUGUUUGCUAUUGGUGUUGGCCUCAGCACAUUCGACAAAGCUUCUGUUCACUACUAUGUCCAAUCACACAUCCAAAUCAAUGAAUACAGAGACCGUGUACUACUGCCGUCUGUAUCUAAGAAGAAUGGGGGGCCAAUCACCACCUGCGUCAAGGUUCUAGACAUGACAGGGUUGAAACUUUCAGCCCUCAGCCAAAUUAAGUUAGUGACGAUCAUAUCAACCAUUGAUGAUCUGAACUAUCCAGAGAAGACAAACACAUACUAUGUUGUGAACGCUCCAUAUAUAUUUUCCGCCUGUUGGAAGGUUGUAAAACCUCUUUUACAAGAGAGGACGAGGAAAAAAGUUCAUGUGUUAUCCGGUUGCGGAAAGGCUGAGUUAUUGAAGAUUAUGGACUACACAUCACUCCCACAUUUCUGUAGAAGAGGAAGCUCUGGGUCAUCUCACCAUACUCAGAGUGUAGAUUGUUUUUCUAUCGAUCAUCCUUUCCAUCAACAGCUAUACAACUAUGUCAAGCACCAUUAUGAGACCCAGGGGCAAGCUGAGCCUGCAAAGCAAGGUUCUUUCCACGUGGGUUUUCCUGAGCCUGUAGCUGAACGUGUUGAGAUGGCUAAAACCAUAGAAUCAAAACUGCACAAGUUCGAGAACUGCAAUGAUCUGAGCAAGCCGGUUGAUGACAGAAAAGCCAGUCCAUGAGAACUUGGAAGAUGAUGAACCCUGAAUGCUUCUGAGGGGAUUCCUUUCAGUGGGUUCACAAUUAAAUCUUACCGAAUUAGUUAUUUGUUCGGUUCAGUAUUCACAGUUAGUUUGGUUUUCAAAGAUCCUACCCAAGUUUUUAAUUUCAGUUAUAUUUUGGUUUAGUUUUAAUAAAAUUUUGGAUAUAUUUCGGUUUGAAAUUUGAUUGGUUCAAUUUGUGUUUCUGGUA